rnacentral:rRNA from 1 species
AACGAACGCUGGCGGCAGGCUUAACACAUGCAAGUCGAACGCAUCGCAAGAUGAGUGGCAGACGGGUGAGUAACGCGUGGGAAUCUACCUAGUUCUACGGAACAACAGUUGGAAACGACUGCUAAUACCGUAUACGCCCUACGGGGGAAAGAUUUAUCGGAAUUAGAUGAGCCCGCGUAAGAUUAGCUAGUUGGUGGGGUAAUGGCCUACCAAGGCGACGAUCUUUAGCUGGUCUGAGAGGAUGAUCAGCCACACUGGGACUGAGACACGGCCCAGACUCCUACGGGAGGCAGCAGUGGGGAAUAUUGGACAAUGGGCGCAAGCCUGAUCCAGCCAUGCCGCGUGAGUGAUGAAGGCCUUAGGGUUGUAAAGCUCUUUCACCGAUGAAGAUAAUGACGGUAGUCGGAGAAGAAGCCCCGGCUAACUUCGUGCCAGCCGCCGCGGUAACAC